rnacentral:rRNA from 1 species
AUUGAACGCUGGCGGCAGGCCUAACACAUGCAAGUCGAGCGAGCGGCGGACGGGUGAGUAAUGUAUGGGGACUGCCCGAUAGAGGGGGAUAACUACUGGAAACGGUAGCUAAUACCGCAUACUAUCGGAUACCCCAUAUGGGAUUAGCUAGUAGGUGAGGUAAUGGCUCACCUAGGCGACGAUCCCUAGCUGGUCUGAGAGGAUGAUCAGCGACAAGGAGACGGAGACACGGCCCAUACUCCUACGGAGGAAGCAGUGUGGAAUAUUGCACAAUGGGCGCAAGCCUGAUGCAGCCAGCCCGCGUGUAUGAUGAAGGCCUUCGGGUUGUAAAGGACUUUUGGCCGUGAAGCGGUAUCUGCAGAAUAAGCACCGGCUAACUCCGUGCCAGCAGCCGCGGUAAUAC